rfam:Oryza glumipatula chromosome 12, whole genome shotgun sequence.
AAUAAGUUCAUUUGUAGGUUUGUGUCUAACGUUUAACCGUUCGUCUUAUUUUUUUUAAAAAAAAUUAUGAUUAGUAUUUUUAUUAUUAUUAGAUGAUAAAAUAUGAAUAGUACUUUAUGCGUGACUUUUUUAAAAAAAAGAAUUUAUAAAUCUUUUAAAUAAGACAGACGGUUAAACAUUAGACAUAGAAAUCCACGAAUGAACUUAUU